CACGUAGGGCGCGAGCGUUGUCCGGAAUUAUUGGGCGUAAAGAGCUCGUAGGCGGCCUGUUGCGUCCGCUGUGAAAGCCCGGGGCUUAACCCCGGGUCUGCAGUGGAUACGGGCAGGCUAGAGGUAGGUAGGGGAGAAUGGAAUUCCCGGUGUAGCGGUGAAAUGCGCAGAUAUCGGGAGGAACACCGGUGGCGAAGGCGGUUCUCUGGGACGGUACUGACGCUGAGACGCGAAAGCGUGGGGAGCGAACAGG
rnacentral:rRNA from 1 species